rnacentral:rRNA from 1 species
UACGUAGGGUGCGAGCGUUAAUCGGAAUUACUGGGCGUAAAGCGUGCGCAGGCGGUUUUGUAAGUCGGAUGUGAAAUCCCCGGGCUCAACCUGGGAACUGCAUUCGUGACUGCAAGGCUAGAGUGUGGCAGAGGGAGGUGGAAUUCCGCGUGUAGCAGUGAAAUGCGUAGAGAUGCGGAGGAACACCGAUGGCGAAGGCAGCCUCCUGGGAUAACACUGACGCUCAUGCACGAAAGCGUGGGGAGCAAACAGG